rnacentral:rRNA from 1 species
UGCAAGUCGACGGUGAAGCCAAGCUUGCUUGGUGGAUCAGUGGCGAACGGGUGAGUAACACGUGAGCAACCUGCCCUGGACUCUGGGAUAAGCGCUGGAAACGGUGUCUAAUACUGGAUAUGAGACGUGAUCGCAUGGUCGUGUUUGGAAAGAUUUUUUGGUCUGGGAUGGGCUCGCGGCCUAUCAGCUUGUUGGUGAGGUAAUGGCUCACCAAGGCGUCGACGGGUAGCCGGCCUGAGAGGGUGACCGGCCACACUGGGACUGAGACACGGCCCAGACUCCUACGGGAGGCAGCAGUGGGGAAUAUUGCACAAUGGGCGAAAGCCUGAUGCAGCAACGCCGCGUGAGGGAUGACGGCCUUCGGGUUGUAAACCUCUUUUAGCAGGGAAGAAGCGAAAGUGACGGUACCUGCAGAAAAAGCGCCGGCUAACUACGUGCCAGCAGCCGCGGUAAUACGUAGGGCGCAAGCGUUAUCCGGAAUUAUUGGGCGUAAAGAGCUCGUAGGCGGUUUGUCGCGUCUGCUGUGAAAUCCCGAGGCUCAACCUCGGGCCUGCAGUGGGUACGGGCAGACUAGAGUGCGGUAGGGGAGAUUGGAAUUCCUGGUGUAGCGGUGGAAUGCGCAGAUAUCAGGAGGAACACCGAUGGCGAAGGCAGAUCUCUGGGCCGUAACUGACGCUGAGGAGCGAAAGGGUGGGGAGCAAACAGGCUUAGAUACCCUGGUAGUCCACCCCGUAAACGUUGGGAACUAGUUGUGGGGACCAUUCCACGGUUUCCGUGACGCAGCUAACGCAUUAAGUUCCCCGCCUGGGGAGUACGGCCGCAAGGCUAAAACUCAAAGGAAUUGACGGGGACCCGCACAAGCGGCGGAGCAUGCGGAUUAAUUCGAUGCAACGCGAAGAACCUUACCAAGGCUUGACAUAUACGAGAACGGGCCAGAAAUGGUCAACUCUUUGGACACUCGUAAACAGGUGGUGCAUGGUUGUCGUCAGCUCGUGUCGUGAGAUGUUGGGUUAAGUCCCGCAACGAGCGCAACCCUCGUUCUAUGUUGCCAGCACGUAAUGGUGGGAACUCAUGGGAUACUGCCGGGGUCAACUCGGAGGAAGGUGGGGAUGACGUCAAAUCAUCAUGCCCCUUAUGUCUUGGGCUUCACGCAUGCUACAAUGGCCGGUACAAAGGGCUGCAAUACCGUGAGGUGGAGCGAAUCCCAAAAAGCCGGUCCCAGUUCGGAUUGAGGUCUGCAACUCGACCUCAUGAAGUCGGAGUCGCUAGUAAUCGCAGAUCAGCAACGCUGCGGUGAAUACGUUCCCGGGUCUUGUACACACCGCCCGUCAAGUCAUGAAAGUCGGUAACACCUGAAGCCGGUGGCCCAAC